GUUAUCCAAGCUGUCAAGAUGAUGUCUAGGUUUGAUGACGAAAAUAACUCCUACCAGACUCCAAGCCUUGCUCUUAAGUUGGGCCACUCCUUGAAAAAGAUGUGACAUUAUACAUGGCAGAGCUCUAAUGGCAGAAGACAGUGAGGGGAUAAAGUCAACACAGACAUUCAAAAGGCUAUAUAAUGCAAAAUGGUCUGAACUUGUUUCACACACAGCUUUGACCACCUUGAAUGAGGGGCACUUUAACAAGCCAUCCCUCAACCCUCCCUUUCACAGAGGAUGUACAAUGUCUUCACAAGCAUCUUGAAAAGAUUGCUGGUUUAGCAUCUGAGAACUUAAAGAUUCCAUCAGCACAAGUCUGUGGGGAACUUUGCAGAGCAACUCUAGCUAAAAUAAUACUGUUCAACCGAAGACGUGGAGGAGAGGUUGCAAAGAUGCAAUUAAAAGGCUUCCUAGAAAGGGACACAGCUGCCCUACAUAUUGAAGUUGCUGUUGGAGUCACAAAGUUUGAACAAAAACUUUGUGCACAUUUCAGUCGGGAGGAAAUUAGUGGUAAAAGGGGGCGAAAGGUUGCAGUGUUGCUAUUGUCAGACAUGGUUGAUGCCUUAACAUGCCUCAUAAGCAGAAGAAAAGAGCAUGGAGUCCCAGAAGAAAACAUAUUCCUGAUUGCAAGACCCAACUGUUUGACUCCUUAACGAGGACAAGACUGUCUGAGGAUUUAUGCAAAUGAGUGUGGUGCGCAAAACCCUGAACUUCUCAAGUCAACAGAAUUACACAAACAUGUAGCAACUUUGUCACAGGUCCUAAACCUCAAAAACCACGAGUUGGACCAAGUUGCUGACUUUUUGGGCCACGAUAUUCGUGUCCUCAGAGAGUAUUACAGGCUUCCUGAGGCUACAACCCAGCUGGCCAAAAUAUCCAAACUACUACUUGCCAUGGAGAAAGGUUCACUUACAAAUCUUCAGGGCACAACAUUAGAAGAGACUGAAAUUGAAGGUAUUGCUAUUAAAGUUGUUAUAAAUUAUAUUUUAUAGUUUAGUGUAAAGGUUAUCAAGUAUUCCUAGCCUAAAGAUAAUCCCUUGCAUACAAACCUUAAAUUUUUAUUAUUCAAUAAUAUUUAAUAUUCAUCAAAUUUCAGCAUGAUUAUUGUUAAUUUUUUUUACUCUAACAUUUGCAAUGUUCAACUUUUCCGAUGGUCAAAAUGUUUAUAUUUUGUUAGAGAACAUAGACUUGACUGAUUCUGAGCAAAGUGAAGACACUGAUGAUGAGGAGACAUAUCCACAGACACCAACAGAAAUGGGAAUGAACAGAGCUAGGCGACCUGUUGAGGAACCUCUAGGCACCCCAGAUGGUAUGAGCAUCAACCUCAGUCUACCAGCAUGUCCAUUGAGGUUUGAUUCAUUUCAUGUAGACCAAGCACAACUACUGCUUGUUAUAGUAUUUUAUUUUUCCGUUCACAGAUGUUGACUCUUCCCUAGGAGGCUCAUCUCAAGGUAAGACAAGAAUAAAAAGUUUUUAACUACUAAUCCAUUUUAAGGGGUACAAAGGUGAAAAUUAAAACUAGUGUUUAGAACUAUCUAGGGGAGGCCAAGACAUUGUAUAAAGGAACCUUAUCUUUGGUAGAGGAGGAAAACAUGGAAAACACAGGGCAGGGUAACUGCAGGCGUAGUGAGAAGCACUGACAUAGGUGAUGAGGAAAUACAUGCUUAUUAAUUUUUAUAUUAUAUUAUUGUUUUUUAAAAAUCGGUUUCAGGUAAACUGGUUGGCGCUUAUUGACGGGGCACAUGUGCGCGACUGCACCUGGCACAUAUUGAAGAGGGUGAUUGCCAACUCAUUGGCAAAGAACCUCCAUUGGAGGGGAGUCAAUGUAAAGACUUCACUGGUCACUCUCCAACUCGCAGAGGUCGUAAUUGGCGGCUGAGCUCCUUAAUUCUAGCUGUGGCCCGACUGUGACUUAACGGACUGGUAGAUACACAGAGCUACACCGAGUAUGGACCUGCCGCAAAUAUACCCGCUUUCAGCCGAGAUUGGCCCACAUAACAAAACCAUUCUGUCCGCCAGAAGUGGUGUGAACAGUCGGUAGGACUCUGGGCAAU
ensembl:lncRNA